rnacentral:rRNA from 1 species
AGAGCGAACGCUGGCGGCAUGCUUAACACAUGCAAGUCGCACGGGCAGGGGAAACCCUGUCAGUGGCGGACGGGUGAGUAACGCGUAGGUAUCUAUCCUUGGGUGGGGGACAACGGCUGGAAACGGCUGCUAAUACCGCAUGAUGACCGAGGUCUAAAGGCGCAAGUCGCCUGGGGAGGAGCCUGCGUACGAUUAGCUUGUUGGUGGGGUAAAGCCUACCAAGGCUACGAUCGUUAGCUGGUCUGAGAGGAUGAUCAGCCACAUUGGGACUGAGACACGGCCCAAACUCCUACGGGAGGCAGCAGUGGGGAAUAUUGGACAAUGGGCGCAAGCCUGAUCCAGCAAUGCCGCGUGUGUGAAGAAGGUCUUCGGAUUGUAAAGCACUUUCGACGGGGACGAUGAUGACGGUACCCGUAGAAGAAGCCCGCUAACUUCGCGCCAGCAGCCGC